AGUUGGGCACUCUAAGUUGACUGCCGGUGACAAACCGGAGGAAGGUGGGGAUGACGUCAAAUCAUCAUGCCCCUUAUGAUUUGGGCUACACACGUGCUACAAUGGACAAUACAAAGGGCAGCGAAACCGCGAGGUCAAGCAAAUCCCAUAAAGUUGUUCUCAGUUCGGAUUGUAGUCUGCAACUCGACUACAUGAAGCUGGAAUCGCUAGUAAUCGUAGAUCAGCAUGCUACGGUGAAUACGUUCCCGGGUCUUGUACACACCGCCCGUCACACCACGAGAGUUUGUAACACCCGAAGCCGGUGGAGUAACCUUUUAGGAGCUAGCCGUCGAAGGUGGGACAAAUGAUUGGGGUGAAGUCGUAACAAGGUAGCCGUAUCGGAAGGUGCGGCUGGAUCACC
rnacentral:rRNA from 1 species